rnacentral:rRNA from 1 species
UUCCGGUUGAUCCUGCCGGACCUGACUGCUAUCGGAUUGAUAUUAAGCCAUGCGAGUCUUUGUAGUAAUACAAGGCAGACGGCUCAGUAACACGUAGUCAAUCUACCCUAUGGACGGGGAUAACCUCGGGAAACUGAGAAUAAUACCCGACAGAUCAUAAUGCCUGGAAUGGUUUAUGGUUCAAAUGAUUUUUCGCCAUAGGAUGGGACUGCGGUCUAUCAGCUUGUUGGUGAGGUAAUGGCCCACCAAGGCUAUUACAGAUACGGGCUCUGAGAGGAGAAGCCCGGAGAUGGGUACUGAGACACGGACCCAGGUCCUAUGGGGCGCAGCAGGCGAGAAAACUUUGCAAUGUGCGAAAGCACGACAAGGUUAAUCCGAGUGUCUUCUGCUAAAGAAAUCUUUUGUUAGUUCUAAAACCACUAUCGAAUAAGGGGUGGGCAAGUUCUGGUGUCAGCCGCCGCGGUAAAACCAGCACCUCAAGUGGUCAGGAUGAUUAUUGGGCCUAAAGCAUCCGUAGCCGGCUAUGUUAGUUUUCGGUUAAAUCCAUGUGCUCAACACAUGGGCUGUCGAAAAUACUGCAUAGCUAGGGAGUGGGAGAGGUAGACGGUACUCUGUAGGAAGGGGUAAAAUCCUUUGAUCUAUAGAUGACCACCAGUGGCGAAGGCGGUCUACCAGAACAUGUCCGACGGUGAGGGAUGAAAGCUGGGGGAGCAAACCGGAUUAGAUACCCGGGUAGUCCCAGCUGUAAACUAUGCAAACUCAGUGAUGCAUUGGCUUGUGGCCAGUGCAGUGCCGCAGAGAAGUCGUUAAGUUUGCCGCCUGGGAAGUACGUACGCAAGUAUGAAACUUAAAGGAAUUGGCGGGGGAGCACCACAAGGGGUGAAGCCUGCGGUUC